AUUGAGAACUCCACAUCACAAAUUCCUGUGGCUCAGAGAGGCCGCUUGAGGCCGCUGCCACUGUCCCUCUGUCCUAGAGUCCCCACAGACAGCAGGCUGUGUCCUCAGUACAGGGACCUUGAGAGAUGAGAAAACGAGAGCCAUAACAGGAGCCACCUUCUUCACAGCCUGAGGGUGACAAUCUGCAGUGACAUUAAGGGCCACUGACAGUCAGCGGAAUCCAGCCCAUUGGCAGAACCAGUGAGAUUCACACUCCCGGCGCGUGCAGAGGAUCCCAGCUCUGACCGGCAGCCCCAAGGGCUUCUGCAAAAUUCUCCUACAGAAGGCCAAGGUGCCACAGGCCGCCUACGACUGGGACAUGGAGAAAGCCCUGGGAAAGUGCUUCACAAAAUGACACUGAGCUGGACACUCAGCUGGCGGGGGUCGUAUGGUGAGGCCGAGGUUGUUCUCACCAAGGAGAAGACACAAAGCAAAACCAAAGUGACCAGAGCUGCAAGCUGCAAACUCUAGAAAAGUGAACAAAGAGAGCCAUCAAGUCAGACCAACCCUUGGUCCACACCAGCAGAGCCACUGUGAGCUAUAAAGUGCUGAGCCUUAACUUUCCCAUCUGUGAAGUGGGACCAACAGGCCCCUUCCUUCCUAACGGAUCCAGUGUCUGAGGUGGGCAGAGUGCUCCUCCUUUCCCCUCGUGCCCCAGGAACCUGUGAUUCCACUGGUAUUUGCUUUAUGUGGCAUCCGGUUCUGAACGUACACGAUUCAGUGGCAUUUGAAGAACAUUCAUAGUAUGGUACAACCAGCACUUCUGUCUAGCUUUGCCAUAUUCUCACUACCCCCAAAAUAAGACUUUGGGCCCAUUAAGUAAUUAUCCCUUAUCCCCUCUCCCCACAACCGCUGACCGACUGUUUUUGUAGAGUUGACAAUUCUGGGUUGCUCAUAAUGAUGGGAUGGCGCGCUUGAGCCUCGGGGCUGGGCUUCGUUCACACAGUACGCAGUUUUCCGGGCUCUCCCGGGCAUCACAGGCCCUUGUGCCUCUCUCCUCCUCAUGGCUGACCCAGUGACGCUUCCCCACUCUGCCAGCAGCAGACAGCGGGGAAGGGGCCUUUCGACCUUCUGUGUGCUGUGAACCCUGCUGCCACGAGUGUGGGCAAGUUUCUGCAUAGAGCCAAGUUCUUGAUUCUCUCGAAUAUACACUCAGAAGCAGAAUGCCUAGUCAUAUGCUCGUUUCAUAUUUUGAGGAAGCAUCGAGCUCUUUUCCAUGCGGCCGCAUCCUGUCCAUGUCUGCCGGCAAGGACCAGAACCCCAGCGCUUCCUUCCGCGUGCUCACCAAGGUUCAUCUCCUGCCUCAGGUUUCUGUCACUGCUCCUGUUGAGCACAGUCAUCCUGGUGGGGACACACGGGCCAGAUCUCUCAGUUUUAGUCUGUGUCUCCCUAGGACCACCUACCUCGAGCAUAUUCCUUUCGCAGGCUCGUGAGAGACCUCAUACCCACCCAGAAGGAAGUGCAUUCCUACGCUGCUUCUUUCAUUGAGUUGUUUGGGCUUCUGUGCCUAAAGCGCUGGGCAAGGGUGCAGCCAAGCAAAUGCAGCCUCCAGUUUCUACAUCAAGGGGCAGCAGGAGCUACAGAGGCUCAGGUCCCGUGAGGGCUUGGGCCACAGGCUGCGACACGCGAGCCCGGAUGUCACCCACAGCGCUGGCCCUGGACCCGACAGAAGACGCCUGGGAUAGGGCUGGUAGUACACACAGCCCGAAGGUGGCACAGAGGCAGUCCAGGCAGACAGAGCCCCGCAUGUUCCAGUCCUUUCCAUGCAAAGGCUGCAGGGGCUGAGGGGUCAGGAGUGCAAGGGGUAAGCGCAGAACAGAGCCAGUCAGGGACUCACCACCACGUAGGCCUUGACAGGCUGCCCGUGCUAGGUGUUUUCAAGGACUGCGAGGCCAGCUGUUUUCCAUUUCCCCGGCAGUCAAAGAAGAGGAAAUGCUCACAGUGGGGGUGGGAGCAGCUCUGGGCUGGAGACCUUUGCAUGGCGGGGUCUGCCAACACCUGGCAAGGAACGCGGACCACCCAUGGUCAGCCUGGACCUCCUCAAGGCGCAGGGUCUCCAGGGGCCGCGGGCUUAACUGCUCCUGCUCCAUCACUAACAAGGCUGGAGCCUCCGUGGCUGGCAUUACCCUUGGACUCCGCAACCCUGGUGGACACAGGGCUCCCCACUCACUGGAUGAGCAGGUGUCCCAGCGACCCUGCUUCAACUGCCAGGUGUUGGGAACAGACGCAGAGCAGAGCUGAACCUGAUCCUGGCCAGCACACUGGAGAAACCCUCAUGCGGACAGAGCAGCAGAAAGCCCGGCCCUCAGGACACCUGGAAGGACAGGUAAGGACCAGGAGACAAGAUACGGUUGAGCCUCAGCGUCAGCAGGAGAGCCGGGCAGGUAGGAAGGUUACCCUGUAUGUGCUGCUCUGAUACAAAGCCACUGCUCCGCUCCAGCACAUACAUGCCUGAGCUACUCAGCCUGUCAUCCUCACCCAUCACAGGGGACAGCCCAAGUUCUCUACUAGGGCAGCGGAGGACAGCAGAGACGCAGCAGCUCACAGGAGACUGCCUGCCUUCUGGGCAGCAAACCCAGGGAUCCAGCCUUCGCUCUGUCACUUAUUUGCUGAAGGGUCUCUCUGGCAUUUUAUUUAACUCCCAUGAGGCUCAGUCUCCCCAUCUGUAAAAUGGAAGCAGUGACAACGGUACCCAUCUCAGAAGUUGGCACGCACAAACCACUUAGAAGAUGCCUGGGCAGCGCUCAGGAAUGUACCUAUCUGUCAUGAUGUGACUUUCAGCAAAACAAGCAACCUUCUCCCUACGCUCCUGGGUGUCCAGUGGCAGCCUCUGCACAGUAAGCUGAAAGUCAGCGCUCAGUGCUCAGUUGUGGGAUCCCGGAAUUUUAAAAUACAUGGGAUCUGGGGGAGCUAAUGUCACCUCAAUAAAAAACCGCCCAAAGGCUCCCCUAAUGAGAUC